rfam:Lechevalieria aerocolonigenes strain NRRL B-16140 contig68.1, whole genome shotgun sequence.
GUGAAGCUCCACUCCUUCGCGGUGCCGGACAGCACCGGCUCGUCACCGAUGUACUCGCCGUCCGCCAUGGUGCCCAGCGCCACGUCGUCGCCGUACUCGCCGCGGCCGGUCUUGGUGACCUUGCCGUGCGCGAUGACGAUGAUCUCGUCGACGGACUCGCCGCGCUGCGCGAUCACCUCACCCGGCUGGUACUCGCGCUGCUCGAAGCGGUUCGCGACGGCGGUCAGCGCCUCCUCGUCCUCGAACCCGCGCAACAGCACGAACUCCGCGAGCUCCUGCGGCACGAUCCGCACCUCGGAACCCACCGCGGUGAACGUGACCCGGCCGUCGCCGAUCGCGAACGUGAGGCGCCGGUUGACCCGGAACGCGCCACCCUUGGCCUCGACCCACGGCAGCAUUCGCAGCAGCCAGCGGGGCGAGAUCCCCUGCAUCUGCGGUGCGGACUUGGUGGUCGUCGCGAGGUUGCGCGCAGCGGCCCGCGACAGGCUCAUCUGCUGGUCCU